AGAGAAAGGAAAGAAAAAUAGAGGCCACGAUCCACCCACGAACACACGUCCCAUCCUCCAACUCCCCUCACCCCAAAGAAAAGAGAAACAGCCCAACAAUCUCUCCGCUCUCGAGAAAUUCGCCGCCGCUGCUCCCCUCAUCGUCCUCUCCUGGUCGUCGUGGCUGCGGUCCUGGCCGUGGACGUCGCCGCCGGCCCCGCACUCCCAUCUGCAUGAGGAUCAUCUAUUCUCCGUCUCAAUUCCCUCCACCCCCCUCGAUUCCAAUCUAAUCUCUCCCGAGAAACUUCACUCGACUCGGCCGUGGCGAAGAUGGCCGACGGCUCGCCGUCUGGCUUUCUCGCUGUUGAGCCCUGUUCCGCCUCCGCCCUCCAUCCACUUGCUCAAGACGUCUUCCGCGGCCGUCAGCUUCCACGAUUUGGGUUUGUGGCAGGCGUGAACUAUGCGAGGAGGGUCCGAGGGUGUGCGUCCUCUAUGUGAAUUCGACGGGUCGUCUUCAUCGCAGGCGGCCAUGGGGAGGACACAUGUGGCGGAGCAGAUGGGGUACGAGGACGCGUAGAAGGCAAACAGCUCAGACUUAAGCCCUUUGCCCCCGUCAGGACUCUGUCACAGGUGCGUGCAUCUCGAUCCUUUCCUUCGUUCUGGUCGGUUAAUUAAGUGCCCGUGAACCAAUAUUCCUCUUGGCCGGCGCUUUCGGCCGAUGGCAAAACGAACACAGAGCAAACCUGGCUUGCCUUGGGAUGGACUGAAUGAGCUAACAACGUAGCUAGCUAACUUUGCCUUGAGAUGGAUCCAGUCGAUGGAUUGAUUGGUCGACUAGCAGGUGGAUUCUAUUGAUGGACUAGCUAGCAACACACACGCACACACUGGCAUGUAACGCUAUUUGCUGUUUAUACUUCUUCAACUCAUGUUGAUACAACCUAGGAGCUACAUAUAUCACCUGGCUAGGUAGAGUUACGAUUACUGCUCAAAGAAAAGUAGAGUUAUGAUUUCUAUACUACUUGGACAAGCAAUCGUUGGUGAACUCUAACAAUCUGUGAGAUCUGUGGGCAACCAAAAGAGAGAACUAGCAAGGCUGGUGAGUUCUCUUUCACUAUUUUAUCUAGAUUCAUCGUGCUAAUUUAAGUAGUUCUAAGCUAUCAUGUAAAUGUAACAUAACUAUUUUAAAGGUUAUCGAUAUAAUCCAUGUUUUGCUUUUCCAUUUUUAGCAAAUAGAGCGGAUUCUGAAAUCACAUAUUUGAAUUAGCUUUUGGUCGGUCGACCUGAGUAGUAAUUCCUUUUAUUAUCCCAGUUGUUAUUUCUACCUUGCUCUGCUGUAUAAGAUACUCCAUAUAGGAGGUCAAGCUUGAAAAAAGUAUAAUACCCGACUUGUCGAGAAUCAUGUUAAUAAAGCUGUCAUGAUAUUUUCCCUGCUUCAAAGUGCUCCCUGAGGUAUUAGUUAACGGUAGUCUGUAUUGAUUUUUUUGUACAGAAUUUGACCAUUUGUGCAGGCUUUGGUUCGUGAUGGAUCGACCUUAAAGUCUUAAUGAUUACCCUUUCCAACAAGCAACAGUGGGGUUGUUCUGCUCAAUCCUGCUUUUUUUAGUCCAUUAAUUUGUAUGUGUUCUUCGCCUCAGAGAUUUUAUUAAUUUCGGUUGGGUUCUUAGAGAUGCAUGUAAAUAACUUUGUUCUGGUUUUCAUAAAAGUAAUAUGGCACACACCUAGAAGGUUAUUGAUUAUACGCUGCAACCCAUUUUAUUAAGUUGGGUUUUCUUGACACCAUUUUCUAUUGCAGGCUACUGAAUAUAUACAGUUCUUGCAAGAGAACGGACAUAAGUGUAUUUGGGUGAGGCACCAGAUACAACAUCUCACUUUUCGUUUUGGAAAUUAUCUUUAUUUAACUCCAAAAGGUCACCAGCUGAAGGUUGUGUUUGGCAAUGGAAUAGUAUGCUGAGGUAUCAAGGAUGGGAUAAUGAAUUGGUAAAAAUCACUUUCCUUUGUUGGUACCAAUACCAAUGCCACCAAGUGCAGUCAUAUUGACGACAGUCAAAUAGCCUUGCAGAAUGGACAAUGUUCAAAGAUAGAAAGCAUUAUGUCGUGUCUAGAUAUGAGUGGAAAACGUGCUACGUGUGUACUGCUACUACACCAGCCCAAGUACUGAUGUACAGUUCCUCCUGAAUUCAGACACUAAGAAGCUAAGCUUUUGCAAAUGAAUCUACUUAUCCAAGAGGCUGGCAACAAGAUCGGAUGUUCAAUAACUAGAGGAGCAACACUCGAUCGACAGGAAACUAUGAGCAUGCAUAUCAUCAAGUUUGCCGGUUCUACAUUUUAAACCUUAGCCAACUACCUACUUUCUAAUUUUCUUGCAUGCAGCGAAUUGACUUCCCAAAGAACUACAUGGAAGGGAUAUAUGUUUGAUUUGUUUUGAAUUGAUUGCAAGAAAUACAUGUAUGGCACAUACAAUUCUAUUCUCAAAACAUAUAUG